rnacentral:other from 1 species
GCGGUGCUGCGGGGUGCGUGUUGGAUCUGUAUUCCCGGGGCCUUAUCGAUCUCAAAGGGAGCUGUCCCUGGUCUUGCCCGUGGGCUCGACCACACGGCGCCCACCUACUUAGUAGGUUCCCGGGAUCGAUAUCCCACGGCCAUCGUGGCCCGUCU